AGAAGUUGUGAUGAGUACAUAGCGAACUAUAAGUUCAGCUUUUACUAAAGAAUACCGUGUACUUGUCACUUAAAGCCGCAUAGGUUAAUUUUUUUUACAGGGGUCUUCUUAUGG
rfam:Glycine soja cultivar W05 scaffold648_49, whole genome shotgun sequence.